rnacentral:rRNA from 1 species
AAAGCGUGCGCAGGCGGUUAUACAAGACAGGCGUGAAAUCCCCGGGCUUAACCUGGGAAUGGCGCCUGUGACUGUAUAGCUAGAGUGUGUCAGAGGGGGGUAGAAUUCCACGUGUAGCAGUGAAAUGCGUAGAUAUGUGGAGGAAUACCAAUGGCGAAGGCAGCCCCCUGGGAUAACACUGACGCUCAUGCACGAAAGCGUGGGGAGCAAACAGGAUUAGAUACCCGUGU